rnacentral:rRNA from 1 species
CAGUAGCCGCGGUAAUACGUAGGUGGCAAGCGUUGUCCGGAAUUAUUGGGCGUAAAGCGCGCGCAGGCGGUCUUUUAAGUCUGAUGUGAAAGCCCACGGCUCAACCGUGGAGGGUCAUUGGAAACUGGAGGACUUGAGUGCAGAAGAGGAGAGUGGAAUUCCACGUGUAGCGGUGAAAUGCGUAGAUAUGUGGAGGAACACCAGUGGCGAAGGCGGCUCUCUGGUCUGUAACUGACGCUGAGGCGCGAAAGCGUGGGGAGCAAACAGGAUUAGAUACCCCAGUAGUCCCUGUCUCUUAUAC